rnacentral:rRNA from 1 species
CCUACGGGGGGCAGCAGUGAGGAAUAUUGGUCAAUGGACGAGAGUCUGAACCAGCCAAGUAGCGUGAAGGAUGACUGCCCUAUUGGUUGUAAACUUCUUUUAUAUGGGAAUAAAAUGUUCCACGUGUGGGAUUUUGUAUGUACCAUAUGAAUAAGGAUCGGCUAACUCCGUGCCAGCAGCCGCGGUAAUACGGAGGAUCCGAGCGUUAUCCGGAUUUAUUGGGUUUAAAGGGAGCGUAGGUGGAUUGUUAAGUCAGUUGUGAAAGUUUGCGGCUCAACCGUAAAAUUGCAGUUGAAACUAGCAGUCUUGAGUACAGUAGAGGUGGGCGGAAUUCGUGGUGUAGCGGUGAAAUGCUUAGAUAUCACGAAGAACUCCGAUUGCGAAGGCAGCUCACUGGACUGCAACUGACACUGAGGCUCGAAAGUGUGGGUAGCAAACAGGAUUAGAUACCCGAGUAGUC